rnacentral:rRNA from 1 species
CCCUUAGAUGUUCUGGGCCGCACGCGUGCUACACUGAGUGGAUCAGCGGGUCAGGUUGCGCGAAAGCGUUUCCCAAUCUUUAAAUCCGCUCGUGAUGGGGAUUGACGGUUGCAAUUUUCUGUCAUGAACGAGGAAUACCUUGUAAGCGCGGGUCAUCAUCCCGCGCUGAAUACGUCCCUGCCCUUUGUACACACCGCCCGUCGCUCCUACCGAUUGAGUGGUCCGGUGAGGCUUUGGGAUCUGAGCGGAAAGAGCGUUUCGCUGUUUCUGCUCGGAAAACUCGGUCGAACCUUAUCAUUUAGAGGAAGGAGAAGUCGUAACA